UGGCAUUUCCUCCUCACCUUUUAUGGUACUUCCGAGGCCCAAAAAUGGUACUUCCUGCUUCCACCCUCCCGGGACUACGCGACGGAUCUUCCGGGAGUCCGCCGGCUUGAGAGCUGCAGCCGCCUCGGCACGGUUCCGCCCUCACCUCAGGGGUGACUCGGCUGGUUCCUCACGUGCAGCGGACCCUGAACGGGCCAUGGGCGGCUCUCGGUUUGGGCAGCAUCUGCUUCGCCCAGGGCCCAGCGGUAGGCCCGGAGCCGUUCGGACGCCCGCACAGAGCGGCCCAGCCCGGGGGAGCUGCGGCUGAGGGCGGGCCUCUGACCUUCUCUCGCUCCGUGUUCCGCUGCAGUUUCUUUCAUAGGGGCUGUGUCGCUUUGUAUACGUCCGUCAGAAAUAGGUACGGUACAGUUUAACCCGAGGAGUGCUGAAGAGGCCAUUGCCCACGUUCAGCCAGGUUUUUCUUCUGUAGAGCCUUUCCAUAAGCUGCUGUGAAACGUGGGGAAACGUGGACAGUCCUUGUCUAGGUGGUUGCUUUGCUCUUUAAUGGCACUGCUCGGCCUCAGGAUCUUUCUAGACGAAUAGAUUUUUCAGUCACUUUUCCUUUGGAAAUAAAGGACUGUAAGUCAGCUCUGGUGAUUCUAAAGAACCCACCUUCCCCUCGUGCGCUAUGUGGCCUGUUGCUUUGUGCCUUGUUGUGUUCUGGAAAUGCUACUAGAGAUAAAAGUUGUGAAAUGCAACUGUUAAAGCAAUUUUGGUUGCAGCUGUGAAUUGGAAGACAAACACUCUGUAAUGACUGAGUUUAGUUCUAGCACUUCUGAUGGCAGUUCAUACACUGUCAGAAUUCUGACAUAAAGUUCAAGAAAAACUACAGCACAGUAGCAUUUUGGUUGAUUCUAUUGAUUGAAGGUCUUGGCUGUGAUUCUUAUUAUUGUGUAAACUUGAGAAGGUAAGAAACUCCAGAUGUACUCAAGUGAACUGGAAAGCGGCUAUGAGUCAUUGAAUUUAAUGGCAGAAGCUUUCUGUAAUUCUGACGUUCUUCUCAAGGAUGAGGGCAUUUUGUGAACAAAACCAGGCCACCUGAGGAGUUGCAGCUGUGGCUGUAACAUGCCAGAGAUCUGUAGUGCCGUAAAAUGAACAUACAGAGAUCUUUUUUUUUUUUUUUUUUUUUUAAUGUGUCAGCGUUAAAAUGGAAUAGCUAAUAAGUGAGCAAAUGUUGACAAAAUUUGCUAAGAAAACUGUAGUAAUUGAUCAAAAGAAAUCCAGUCUCUGGUCUGUUGUCAGAGGUAGUCCUGGAAUAUUCUUCCAGCAGUUGUGACCUGUGGCUAAUAAAUUUCAUGAGCUGGAGCCUGUCUUUGUGCACUCUGUGUAACUCUAUCCAAAUGACUUACGGAGUUGGGCAAGGUUACAGCAUUCAUGGUAUUUGGCUGAAAAGUGAGUAUUAGCAUAUCCAGGUGCUGCAGGAAGUAGAGACUUCUGUGUGCUUAAACUCGCUGCUUCAUAAUUUAAUUUGAUGGCUAUUAAGACUUGUUGCAUAAGGUGAAGAAUAAUAAAGGUUCUGUGAUAGCUGCAGAACUUGGCUUCCCCUUCUCUGUGCUCUUUGUGGUUGAAAAAGCAGAGUCCGUUUUGUACAGUGAGUGGUUUGUACCUCCUGUCAUCCUUUCCCAUACCUUGUGUCAUACUCCUUUGUUGUUUCUGAUAAGUAGAGGCCUGCACUAUCCACAGGAUUCAGUGUGUCCCUGCUUGAGCAGGGGUUUGGCCAGAUGACUUCCAGAGAUCCCUUCUAACCUAAACGACUCUGCCAUUCUCUGAUGCAGGAUGAAUGUAGAGUAAUUGAAGUAUAUAGUUUUGUCUCCUAUGUUCUGUAUUACUUGCCAGAUAUUUCCAAACAUUCUGUCUGGUUUUUGAGCAGUGAUCUGAUCACUCCAGUCACUCCAGAAUGUGGAGAAAAAGCAGCAAGAGUUGGCAGAAGUAAAGAGAGGAAAGAUGGCAACAGGUGAACCUCAAAUAACUAACUAUUAGUGCAAUAAAUUCAAGAUUAAUGCACAUAGAAUGGAAACCAGGGAGAAAAAAAAGCCUCUGGGGAGAAGUCUUUUGCAUUAUGGGUGUCUUCCUGUUGGAAUCUUGCAUUACAGGAAAUUGAGGCUGCCUUGUAAACUAAAGUAUUUACUUUAAAAAAAAAAUGGGGAAAUAAGAAGUUAACAGUUAAAGUUCUACACUUGUAGAACCCCUGGGGGUCUCAGGCAUUCCUUCUUUUGCUUGGAGGAAGGCACCUCUGUGAAUGUAUUUCCUUAUUGUAACAUUUGUAUAUGGGAAGACACAUGUCUUUUUUCAACAUGCUGCAGUUUCUGCUUUUGGAAGGCAAUGGCAGUGAAUGGGUGAAACUCUGGGUGAGAUGAGGCUGUCAUUGUUAUCGCAACUAGCAGACCAAAGAGGGAGGAUGGGAUGCACCGGCUGAAUUUGUGCAAGAUGACACAGUCAUCAUGGCAAGAUAUACAGAUAGAGUAUAUGCUCUUUUUCUCUAAAGAUGAAGCUGCCACCAUUUCAGUCCUUAUUACAACUUCAAGAGAUAGUGUUUCACCACAAUAGUACUGUUAACAAGCUUUUAAACUUAUUUUGCUGCGUAACGCCUACCUUUGCAUGUCAAAACCUCUGUCUUAUUUUACAAAAUUUAUUCUGUUGGUGAAGGGGUACAGGACUGUGGUGUUGCUGUUUACUGAAAGGCAUCUUUUAAGUUCCUCUUGAGAACAAUACAUAAACCACUGUGUGACAUCCAAUUUCUAGCAUCUCUGUUCUCUCUUCCUGGCUCUUUUUCAUACCAUAACGCUAAUCCAGAGCACAACGUUUGGAGUCACUGUGGCAUACAACCAAGAGCAUUUGUGGCUGUCCAACAAGAACCUGAUUGUGAAGCUUCAGGCUUGCUGUUGAGGCUACCUCGUUUGUCAGGAAUUUGACUCCUGAUUUGAUUUUUUUUCUGAAGAAGCAAGUUCCAGUGGUCACUCACAUCCAGGCAUGAAAUCCCUUAAUUUUGUUUGAAACUUGUACUUGUCAGUUGCUCUCCAUGUGCACACUUACUGGGUAGUUUUCUUCAACAUAAAGAGUUGCCACAUAAUUAGAUAUCUUCUCCUCAUUUUGCAGAUUAUUGAAAGGCAUUUCCUUCUCCUGAAGAAUAUCUUUGUAUAUGUUACUUCUCUUUGUGAUAUAUGAGCAAUAAACUCAAGCAGAACGGCAGAGAGAAAAAGCACAUCUGAGAAAUGUUCACCUAUCAUGUCAGCAUCUUAUCUGGUGUUUUGGAAAUAGGACAAUAUGAAGUAUGUGUAGUGGAAAUACUAAGACACAGCCUGAAACAGUGAUUGGGCACCUGAUGAGAAGGCAGGGCCAACCCAGGGGAGCUCAGGUGCAAGCAGUGUAUCACUCAGUGACUGGAAGGGGUGGAGCCAGGAUCCACCCCUUCCCAGCCCUCAUUUAAGGGUUGGCAGGGGAAGGUGAGGGCAUCUCUUGCUGGAGAUCUCUGCCUACCUUUGGCUGCUUCUAUUUAACGUCUUUAUUAACGUUCUUGAUAAGGGGAUUGAGUGUACCCUCAUAUGCAGUUUACAGGUGAUACCAAGCUGGGAGGGAGUGUUGGUAUGCCAGAGGGGAGAAAGGAAAUACAGAGGGACCUAAAUAGACUAGAUUGAUGGGCCAAGGUAAACUGUAUGAGUUUCAAUAGGGCCAAGUGUCAGGUCCUGCACUGGUUGUGAAUGAGAGAAUUUAUGUCAAAUCGCUUGAUAUCCAAACCGAUCCAGUGGAUAUUUACAAGCCUUGAGUGGGCCGGAUGGAAUGUCAUAGUGGCGAGGCCAGGUAUGGAAGCUGUUACUAUGAUGUUUCUUCUAAGAGUUGCACGGCUGUUUUGCGUUGCUCUGUUAAUCAUCCCAUGCCAUCCUUGGCUUCACUGCACGCAUCUGUCUGAUUGAUACCAUGUUUUUUCAUCACCUCAGAUGCUGGCUGAAAAAAAAAAAAAAAUUUAAAAACGCAUGACAACAUCAGUUUGCUGGACAUUUAUUUAUUUAUUUACAGAUAUUCAUAAGCACUCAGCACGGGUUUGGUGGGUUUGUCGAAGUUUUCCUUGUUUUUCUUCGUCGUCUCCUCUUCUCUCCCCCUUCCUCUCAUAGUUGUGUUUUUUUUCUUCUGCCAUCAAAAGAGAACCUGAUCCGCGCCGCAGUCCCCGGCGAUCCGGUCAAUCCGGUUAGGGAAGUUGUUUCCGCCGUCUCUGGUGCCCCCGCGUGGCCAAUCGGUGGAACUGUGGCAGCGUAUAUUGUUUGCUGCCGCCGACUGCAAGACGCCUGGAUGCGGAAGUGGCGAAUCUGAGUUUUGACCACUCUGCGCAGCCAAUCCGCCAAUCUUUAUGGUGAGAAGUCCUCAAGUCGGCAACACGCAUGCGCUCGAUGAUGUACAGAACGCACGGCUUUUGGACGAGCAUCCAAUUAGUUCGUCGCCGCGGUGGACUAGCAGGCGUCCCCUUCCACCCCUCCGCCCUGCAACGUCCCUCAUCCGUUUGCAAGCACUCUCGACCACCGUGGAACGCGAGCGGCUCGGAGAUUCGCGGUUGCAGAACCGGCGCGGAGCGGCUCCGGCACUGCAGCCUCCCGGGACCGGCACGGAGCGACUCCGCGGUCACCCCAAGCGGUGCCCUGCCAACUUCCCUAGGAGCUACUGAAUGGGCUUUUCCGUCUGUCCCGUCCCGUCCCACCCCCGACCACCGAGCUCCUUCACGUGGCGGUGCCUCACGGCUCCAGCCACCUCGCCACGCGCUGCAGGUAAGGAGCCACUCCCGCAGGGCGCGGCCAUGUUGUUCGGCGCGUGCCCACGUCAGAGGCGCUCCCAUACACCACGCGCGCGGGCAGUGCCUGCAGUACCACACAGCGACCGCCGGAGAGCAGCAGAGAGCCGCGGCGCUGUCGGUUGGCGGGGGAUGUAGGAUGUGGGGUGGGGAGGGAGGCGUGGGACCGCUCGACGGCUCUGUUCAGAGACGGUAGGAAUACUGUAACAGUGGGAAGCGAGCAGGGAAACGCACUGUGUCAGACUGAUAGGGGAAAAACACCACCCUCCGAUCACCUGGCGGUCCUUGACCAGAUGCUGCUCAGCAGUGGAGAGCUGCAUAUCCAGGAAUGCCCCGGAACCCAACUUAGGUGACUGCCCAAGCAGGUAAGGACCAUGCAUGUAUGCAAAUCUUUCCCUAUUUCACCGCGUGGCAUAAUGUAGUGCUUCCGGAGCUCGUUACGACGUGGUAGGGCACCUUCUUGGCUGCGUGUUCAUUUCCUCCUGCCUUUCCCUUGCUUUCCCCAUGUUUCCACCUUGCUUUGCCCUGUUAUUCCCACUGCCUUCCUCUGUGUUACUCAGGUGUUGUGCUUCCUUUGUGAAUAUCAAAUCCUUGAGCACUGCUGCUCCACGAGAGAGUUAUCCAGUCGGCUUGCAUUAGUUCGCUUUGUGCCCAGGGCCUUUUUCUGGGGCCCUAGAGCAUAGAAGCGAAUAUCAGCUGGGGGCCUCAUUGGCUGGGAUGUAGCUUUAAAUUAAACCUUGACCCGGACUCCAAGCCACAUAGGAACUGUAAAGAUAACUGUAUUAACACACAGUGUAACUCUAGUACUAACCCUUAUCCUGACGCUAAAAUCAUCUCUGACUCUAAAUGUAACAAUAAAAAUCAUGCUCAAAGUUUGUAGCAAAAGGAACCUUAACCCUGAUCAUAAUCCAAAGAACAGUCGUUGAAGUAACCGAUCUUCACCCUAAAAGUAACGUUUAUCAUAGGCUAAUGACCCGAAAAUAAUUGUACCAGCCAUCACCCUGAAGAACCCCUGAAAAUGACCCAGAGAAGUCACUGUAAAAGUAACGCUGACGGUAUUCUCAGUCCUAAGGGUGACUCUAACCUCAGUGCUAACAGAAUGCUAAGGAUCAUUGUAGUGGCCCUAAAAUUCUGGUAGUGUGACAGCAGUGCUGCCCUGCACAUGUUGGGCAGUCCCAUUGGUAUUGCAUUGCCUGCUAAAUACAGGUGGCAGUGCAGUGUUGCUCCCAGGCAGUACAAGGACUGCAAGGACAGCUUUCUGGCUCUCCGUGACAACAGCAGGCAAGCUGAGCGUUCCGGAAUGUCCUGGAACCCAACUUGCUGCCUGACUGCUUGUUGCUCAAAUAGGUCAGAGCAAUGCGUAGACUCAAGUAUAUGGUCAUUAAGUAGUGUGGAAUGCUCUGUUUUUCCCAGAGCUCAUUAAUGUGCCUUAUGGCAUCUUUGUGCCUUAGAUCUCUCUCCGGGGCACAGGAGCAUAGAAGCAGGUUGUGUGUGGGGGGUCAGAUUUGGGGGGCAGGCGAUUCCCUUGGUGGGGUCCAAGUGGUGGGUCCAGAGCCCAAACCCAAAUGAACCGAAUGCUGCCCGGGUUUGCGGAAGGCCUCCUGGGUUCACAGCUAGGAAAUGCACUGCUGGGAGGCCAACAGAAUGAAUUGAGGCCAGGGGCAGUUAGCACAAAGAGCUCCUGGCCUUGGGUCUCAGUUGCUCUGACUCGCUGGAAAAUAUUCCCCCGAGCUUGCAGGUUUUCCUCCCAGUAAGCUGGUACUCUGUUCCACUUCCUUAGUAUGUAUCCCUAGAAGGAGGGUUAUAGAAGAAGAAGAGACAAGAUCUGAAGCAUUUUAAAAACUAACAAAAGAGCAGAAAAGAAACUCCACACCAAACUGCACUGACCCAGUGAAGACAGCAGAUUGAAUGGUGGAAGGCUUUGAGAACUGUUCUGUUGUUCACUUGUGGUUUCAUUAGUCAUGAACUUGCACACCUUAAUUUUUCAGGCCGCUUGGUGUUUGUUGGCUGAUGGAAGCCCCCUCUGUCACUUGGCUGAUGAUUAAUUUCACAAAAGAACAACAGCAUCACUGAUGCGGUGGUGCCUUUUUUCGUUCAAGCUGAAGUUGUGGUCACCGUUUCCUUUGGUCUUGAACAGUGUGGCACUAGGCUUGACCCAGUGUGAAAUCUGAACUGUGGCAGUAAAGUUCAGUUCUGAAGGAGGCUCCAACUCUUGGGCUGAUGCGGGCAGCAAAAAGUUCCAUCAUUCACAGAGGAUGUGGAGACAGUGAGGCAGCAAAAUAGAAAACAGCCCAGUUUAGAAAGAAAGGCAUUUUCAAACAUCUUCAGGGUGCUUCCGGCUCUGAUAGUAAUCACUGCUAAAAGCAAUUAGUCCUUCUGGGCUUCUCAGGAAACUCAGGAAUUUGGGGACAAAAUGGAGAACUCACUGCUCUAACAAAUGACAUUCCCCUUCGUCAGCCCCAGAUAUGCCUGGCUUCUGACUUCUCCACAUGCAAAAAAGCGGCCUCUCAGGUGCAACUUUUUUCAGUAUUGCUUGUUCUGAAAUAUUUAAGCGUGGGAUCUGUCCCUCUCUGUUCUUUGCAGGAGGUCAUUUCUCACUGUGAAAGGCUUUCUAAGGAGCAUGAGAAGCAGCUCUUUGACACCACGAGGCUGAGCAAGCAAAAGGGUGGUUUGAAAUCUUUGAGCAAAAAGAGGGGAAAAAAGCUGGAAGCAUGUUGGCAUCUGUUCUACUUCCUUGCACUGCACACAUCUGUCCGAUUGAUACCAUGUUUUUUCAUCACCUCAGAUGCAGGCUGAAAAAAAAUAUAUAUUUUUAAAAAAGCAUGACAACAUCAAGUUGCUGGUUAUUUAUUUAUUUAUUUACACAUAUUCAUAAGCACGUAUACAUAAGCAGUUUUCUUUGGUUUUCCUCGUCGUCUCUCCUUCUCCCUCCUCUCCUCCUUCUGUGUUUUUUUUUUUUUUUCCCUCAGCAGCUCUGGGGAAACUCACCAAGUGCUCUGGUCAGGAGGAUCCCUGGGCUGCCCUGCACCUCUUCCAGAAUUCAUCUUUGCUGGUCCCAGCAUGCAACGGUCAGAGAGCCCACCUUCUUUGUGCCAUCAGCUCCCUCACCUGCAGAACUGGCUUUUAAAUGGUGCCCAAGAGCUGGGAAAGCGAUGUUUAGGAUUCAGUAUUCAUAGAAUCGCAGAAGGGUGCUGCAGCAUGGCACCCCAUGAGUGGCUGUGUGUCACCUCCAGUGGCACCUGCAGGGACAGCCCAGCACUGUGUGGGGAUGUGGGGGCAGGACUAAUCGGGGAACAGUGGGGACCUUGUGGGGACAUUAGGGGAAGUGAGGAGUGGGGGACACCGGGACAUGGGGAUAUGGAGAGGGACAUCAUGGGGAUGUUGGGGGGGACUUUGGAGGGGGACUUUGAGGACAAUAGGGGAACACUGGGCAAUGUGGAAACACUGGGACAUGGGUACAAACACAGGGGACACUGUAGGGACCCAGGGACAGGUGCCCUCACUGAGGUGGCCCUGGCUCUGUGGAAUACCAUCCCCAAGGGGUGCCAGAUGGUACCCGUGGUCCCGUGUGUGUCCUCACCGCGGUUGCACAGUGUCAGCACUGUGGUCAUGUUGGCCAUGUGGCCGCCCAGCAGCAGCAUGGCACUGGGUGUCACCAUGACCUCCAGGUUGGGCUGGCAGUGCUCAUCUGUCACGUAGUGCUGCUUGAAUGGCACCAGCACCUCCUGAUGCGGCCUGCUGCCUCCCUGUGUCACCUCCAUGUGUCACCUCUUCUCACCUCUGUAGUUCUGACCCCACAUGUCCCUGUGUCCCCACACAUCCCCUGAUGUCCACAUGUCCCCUCAAGUCCCCCCAUGUCCCCCGCCCCACUUCGCUCCAUGCCGAUGUCACCGUGGGCUAGAGAAUGGGGACAGGGAUGCCUGUGGGGUGCGUGGAGUCCAGGGAGAAGUUGAUGGCCAUGUGCAGUGGGGUGAUGGUGUCCUCGGGGUGCAGCUGUGACAGUGGGGUGGGAGUAGUACCCAACAAGUGGGGGUCAUUGUCCCCACAGUGGGGCUUGUCCCCCAUGCAUGUGGGCAAGUUGUACAGGGAGUGCAUUCUGGAGAUGAUUUUCUGCAAAUCUGUUGUGACUUCAGAAAUCCCACGUCGUGCCACAGCAGAAAUGGGGUACUGCAGUAUGUCAGUGAUCUCUGAUUUGAGGAGCUCAGGGGCUGCACAAAGUAAACACUCUGCAGCCUCCCUAUUUCUUUGGGGUUUGGGAUCGAUGUUUGAGUCAAAAGGCUACAUGCUGCCAUACAGGCAGGUGCCAGGUUCACCCACUGAGGACACUAAAUCCUACACUAUUUUCACAGUGGUCUUCAAUUGCAAAGUGAGUAGAUGACACGUUUCUCACUGGAGAGCCAUAAGCUGAUCCAGGCAGUUUGGCAGACAGCACUCACUCUGUUCACACCUGGAAUCUCAGCCCUUUUGUUGCACGUGCAGCUUCUCAGCAUCUUGAUGUAUCAGUAUUGAAAUCUGUGCUACCCUGUCUAUUAGAAAUUUCACCAAUUGCCUUUGAGGACAGACUGGAAUCAAAAUAUGUGGGCCAUCAUAACUUGUCCAUUGAUAAACCUCCUUGCCUUGGACAAGCAGACCCAGCUGGCCAAUUUUUUGCUUUUUUUUUUUUUUUUUUUUGCCUUUAUGGGAACUUUGAGAUCACAGCCUGAAGCAGUGAUGGAACACCUGGUGAGGGGUGUAGCCAGCCCUGCAAGCACAGGUGGAAGGAAUUCCAGAUGGGGCUGAGCCUGUCUCCACCCCUCCCUAACCUCAUGUAAGGGCUGGCAGCCCCAGAGGCAUUGUCUCUAUCUGGAGCCUGCUUCCUGUAGGUUGCUGGGUGAGCCCUGGUCCUGGGAAAGAAGUAAGUGAUUCUUUCUUUAUUGCAGGGGUUUUGAUCUCUGCCUUUCUGAGGGGAUCCUAAGCUGGUUUAGGGCAGCUAUAUCUGCUAUGCCUGUCCUUGUGAUGCCCUUCAAUUGUUCUCUGAGAAAAGUGAAGAGGUUAUCUCCCUUUCUCUGACCUGGUAAUAGAGAGACUGACGUACAUUCCUUUCUUUUGUUAUUAUCUCAUUUCUGGAGUGCUUCAAUCAGCCCCAAGGUAAUGCUGGCUGGCUUACUGAGCACUGCAACUCCAGAAAUGCCUGGAGCUGGUGCUCUUUUCCAUAAAGGGAUUCUGUGUUUUCUGGAUCUUCUUUGCAAUUCUUUUUAAGCUCAAUACCUUCUUGUUAAGUCUCUGUUCCCUUUCAUGAUUCUCGUCUCACAAUCUCCAACCUGGGGCUCUAAACUUGGUUUGUCUGCCACCAUGUUGUCCUAGCCCAUUUUGUGAUGUGUACUCUCUGUGUCCCCCUCCGUGUUCUCUCUGUGUCCUCAUGCCCCACUCAUGUCUUUGUGUCCUCUCCCCAUGUCUGCUCUGAGUCUCCUGUGCCGUGUAUUAAUUCCACCCAUGCAGAGUAUUGUUUAAGGUCAUGUAUUUAAAUUACAUGCGUCCCUUUUGAUCUCAUUCUAUUUUGCAGCUCAAUGGGGUUUAAGGAUUUCUGGGGCUCCUCUAGCUAGUGGUUUAAGCACUGUGAAAUCUUUGGAGCAGAUAAUGGAACACCACGAGCCCCUUGUUCUUGCAUGGCUUGUAUGCAGGCAGGUUUUGUGGUAGCUGUGGGAAGCUCACUUAAAGAUGAAAUGUGGGUCACAAGGGGCUCACCUUGCUCCGUGGGGUCUAUUUUUCCAGCCCAAUAAGCUACAUGGCUAGUGAUAGAGUGAGGUGCAUCUACCAGGCUGGGACCUGAGCUUAAGAAAACCCCCAGGCCCCAGUAGCCAUUUUCUUCAUCCUCACUUGGUGCAAUACAGUCUCCACUGCUCGACCAUACUAAACACAAAUAUUCUGUUCCUGUUUUGUCUGGUUCUCUCCUAUAUCGCCCUUACAAAUUUGCCAGUGGUAACAGAUGCCAGGGCAUAAUUCUCAGAGCACGCUGUGGCCGACCACCCUGGGGUCCUGUGGUACUUCCUGUUUUUAUGGCAGAUCUGGCUUUGUAUUUAUAGGAGACAAGGGAUUGUCCUCCACUGGACUGCUUUGUCAGGAUGACCCCAGAUAUCUCUAUUCCAGUUGUCUGGGGAUGCUAUUAGCUUCCUAAUCUGUAUGAUUCCCCAACCCCCCGCCCCUUUUCCUUCCAUCCCCCGUCCCCACUAAAUCUGCAGCUAUGGGACUGAACAGCGUGAUGAAGUGGGGCCUCUGAUCUGCUGAAUACUGAGACUGACACAGAGAGGCUCCACGGCUGAUCUGGAUCUUCCUGUUUGGAGUACUUUGUGAUUUUCUCCAGAGCUGCUGAGCACGCAGGCUUCCCUGCCUGCCCUUGUUGCACACCAGGCCAUUGAUGUCCUUUGUGUCAUCAUGUCUCAUGGCUUCAGGUAUCAUACCAUAAACUCCUUAGAGUUGGAAAGGACCAUUUAUGAUGAUCUAGUCCAAUUUCCCUACAGCAAACAAGGACAUCCACGGCUAGAUCAGGUUGCCCAGGGCCUGAUCCAGCCUCACCUUGAAGGGGACAAGGCAUCCACCACAACUCUGGGCAACCUGUUCCACUGCCUCACCACCCUCGCUGUAAAAGAUAUUUUCCUUAUGUCUAACCUAAAUGUUCCCUUGUUCUUUCCUUUAGCUCCUCUUUAGGUAUUGAAAGGCUGUUACCAGGUCACCUCAGAGCCUUCACUUCUGCAGGCUGAACAGCCCCAGCUCCCUCAGCCUGACCUUGUAGGAGAGGUGUUCGAUCCCUUAGUUCACUUUUUUUGUGGCCAUCCUCUGGCUGUGCUCCAACAGGUCCAUGUCUCUUCUGCACUGAGGACUCUACAUCUGGAUGGAGUACUCCAGGUGAGGCCUCUUCAGUACAGAGCAGAGGGGCAGGAUCACCUCCCUGCACCUGCUGACCACGCUUCUUUUGAUGCUGACCAGGAUAUGGUUGGUUUUCUGGGCUGGGAGGGCACAUUGCUGGCUCACGUCCAGCUUGCCAUUCACCAGUACCUCCAGGUCUUUUGGGAGAGGCCUAUGCUCAGUCUUUUCAUCCCCCAGCAUGUAUUGGUAGUGGGGGGUUCUCUUGUCCCACGUGCAGGACACUGCACCUGGAUUUUUUGAACCUGAUGAGGUUCACCUGUGCCUGCUGCUUGAGCCUGUCUAGGUCCCUCUGUUUGGCGUCCUGUCCCUCUGGUGUGUCACCCCACAGCUUGGUGUUGUCAGCAAAUUUUCUGAGGGUGCACUCGACCCCACUGAUGAUGUCACUGAUGAAGAUAUUGAAGAGUAUCAGCCUCAGCAUGGACCCCUGUGGGACAACACUCAUCAUCAAUUGCCAUCCAGGUGUGGAGCCAUUGACCGCUGCUCUCUGGACUCAGUCCUGCAGCCAGUUCUUUGUCCAUUCAACAGUCCACCCAUCAAAACCGUAUUUUUCCAGCUUCCUAAAGCAGCUUCCUAAAACUCAAUCCAAUUGAAAUUCUCUGCUGUCUAGUAACAUGGACUUCUAUGAGACUGCGAGCUCAGGCUUUACAGGCCAGCAGUGGAGCCAACCAGGAGGCUUCUGGAUUUUCAAAAAGGACUGAGAAGGCUGAGAAUGAGGUGCUUUGUUUGACUUUUUACUGACUGUCUCACUUAAGGAUUCUGUCAGUCCGUAGGCAUGUUUGCUUGGUUUGGCUGGAGCUUUGGAGCUUGGUGCUUAUGACUUCAGUUCUUUCUGACACAGAGCUGCUUUGGACACUUGCUGCCUAGACCAAAUACAUACUUUGGCAGAGAUCACUCUAUGCACUGUUGUGGUUUUUUUUUUUUUUUUUAAUGUUUUGGAAGUGUGAAUGUGAUAUCUGCCUUCAAACAGGGAAUGUCUAAAAGAAAUUUAUUUAUUUAUUUUCUUGGAGCAGUCGUUCAGGGAAAUGUGGAUUCUUUCUUCUCUGCUGCUAUGUUUCCUGUAGUGGUAUUCUAGGAAUGGCUUCUGUCACUGAUUGCUUACUUGCUUAUUUUCAGUACUGAAAGAAAGCUACCAUUCUUUUUCUUCUGCCUACGUAGAACUCCCUUUGUUUCCUUUGUAGUUUUGAGCUGCGCUCUGGAACAGAAUGUACAGCUUGAUCUAGAACAGUUGCCAAAUAGGUGUCUGUGGGCAGAUGGUGCUGAACUUCCCAGACACAGGUCAUAAAGUUCCUUGCCUCCUUGCAAAUGUUCCUGUAUAUUCUUAUAUAACAUAUGUUACUGCUGUACUGAGAUUAUUAUUACAAAUCCAUUAUCUGUUUCCCAGAGGUGAUGCUGAGAAGCAUGCCACAUGAUGACAUAUGCAUACCUUGUGCUUCAUUUUAAUUCUUCCUUCAGGUCAAAAGUAGACUGAAAUCAUUGAAACUGUGCCUGGAAAUCUUGCUGUUAUUUAAACCGUUCAGCCGUGCUGCCCAUGGUCAGAAUGCCCUGCGGCAGAUCCUGGCACUGGUUGUGAAUGAAAGAACUGACAACAAAUUGCUCAAUAUCAAAUCUGAUCUCCUGGAUCUUUACAAGCCUUGGGUGAGCCAGAUGGAAUCUAAGAUGGGUGAGGCCAGGUAUGGAAGCUGUUACUGUGAUGUUUCUUAUAAGAGUUGCACGGCUGUUUUGCACUGCUCUGUUGAUCGUUCCAAGGCACCCUUGGCUUCGCUGCACGCAUCUGUCCGAUUGAGACCAUGUUUUUUCAUCACAUCAGAUGCUGGCUGAAAUAUAUGUAUGUAUAUGUAUUUAAAAAAAAAAAAAAAAAAAAGACGUGACAAGAUCAAUUUCCUGGUUAUGUAUUUAAUUAUUUGCAGGUAAUGGUAAGCACUUAGGACUAGUUUGGUGGGUGAGUCGAAGUUUUCCUUGUUUUUUUUUAAGUCGUCUCCCUUUCUCCCCCCCUUUCCUCUCCUGUGUUUUUUUUUUUCCACUGCUAUCGAAAGAAAGAGACGAGCGGAUACCCGUCGCAGGCCCUGGCGAACCGGUCAAACCGGUCGGGGGAGUUGUUCCCGUGGUAUCUCGUGCCCCCUCAUGGCCAGUCAGCGGAACUGCAUCGGCAUGGUUUCCACGGUCACUGGUGCCCUCUCGUGGCCAAGUGUGGGAACUGCGAAGAAUUAGUUUCGGCUCUCCCUGGUGCCACCACAUGGCCAAUCGGUGGAAUUGCAGCCGUGUUUGUUAGGAGGCGGAGGCAGCAAAACGCAUGCCCACAGACUCGCGGAAAUCAUUUAUGUAUUGUCCGGUCUUGCGCAGCCCAUCCUUCGAUCUUUAUUAUACUUAGUCCUCCAGGCAGUGCUACGCAUGCGCCGUGAAGCUUAAAAUUAGCAUCCAUUCCUCCUAAGCCCCGAGGGCCGGGCGGGCAGUCAAUUCCUGGUCCUCGGGCUCAGCGCUUCUUUUCUCUCUUGCGGUGUUGAGUGUUCGUUGCCUUUUUGCUCGGGGGGUUUGACACGCGGGCCUGCCACGGAAACUGACUAUUUUGGCUCCGAACGUACCCUACGCCCGUCGCAUGCGUAAUAAGAAGUCGAAAAACAGCAUGCUUAGGUGUGUGCCCGAAAAUACGCAUGAGAAAUAGUAUGUCCACGUUAGAAAACACUAGAGUACCACCGAGACUGGCGAAUGUAUUUCACUGUCACGGGAGUGCGCAUGCGUACUGCCGCCUCGCAGUUCGCGCAUGCGUACGGACGUCACGAGGUUCGCACAUGCGUAUUACGUUUAAGGAUCUCGCGCAUGCGUAAUACGUGCAUUAGGCUAGCACAUGCGUACUGGCGUCUCGAGGUUAGCGCAUGCGCAAGGAUGUCAAGCCUACGGCGCAUGCGUAGUACGCCCUAACCGGUUGCGCAAGCGUACUGUGGUUUCAAGGCUAGCGCAUGCGUACUGCCCCCCCCACCCAAAAGGAACGGCGCAUGCGUACUGCUACCUGGGGAUACACGCACGCGUACUGCCAUCACGAAGAUUGCACAUGCGUACAGCCGUACCGAAGAUGGCGCAUGCGUACUUUCGUCUCGCGGUUCACGCAGCCGUACUACACUCACACAUGUCGCGCUUGCGUACUACCAUCUCGAGGCUCGCUCAUGCCUAGUGCUGUCAAGGCUAUCGCGCAUGCGUAGCACAGCUACGUGACUCGCGCAUGCAUACUGCCGUCUCACGACUCCCGCAUGCGUACUGCCGUCUCGGGGCUCGCGCAUGCGUAUUGCCGUCUCGGGGCUCACGCAAGCGUACUGCCGUCCAUAAUAUCGCGCAUGCUUACUGCCAUCUCGAAAUUCGCGCAUGCAUAGUACCAUCUUCAAUCUAGCGCGUAAGUACUGCAGUCACCCGGCUCGCGCAUGCGUACUGCUGUCUAUGACGUCGCGCAUGCGUAGUGCCGUCCUUAAUGUCGCGCAUGCGUACUACCGUCACGGACCGCGCGCAUGCGUACUGCUGUCGCGAAAUUCGCGCAUGCCUACUACCGUCUCGAAUCUCGCGCAUGCGUACUGACGUCCAUAAUGUCGCACAUGCGUACUGCCGACUCGCAGUUAGCGCAUGCGUACUGCCGUCUCGCAGUUAGCGCAUGCGUACUGCCAUCUCGACGCUCGAGCAUGCGUACUGCCUGCUCGCGGCUCGCGCACGCGUACUGCCGUUCAUUCUGUCGCGCAUGCUUACUGCCGUCUAUAAAACUGCGCAUGCGUACUACCAUUUCGCGGCUCGCGCACGCGUACUGCCGUCCAUGAUGUUGCGCAUGCGUACUGCCGUUCCGAAGCUCGCGCAUGCGUACUGCUGACUGUAAUGUCGCGCAUGCUUAUUACCGCCUCGCGGCUCGCGCAUGCAUACUGCUGUCCGUAAUAUCGCGCAUGCGUACUACCGUUUCGGGGCUCGCGCACGCAUACUGCCGUCUAUAAUGUCGCGCAUGCAUACUGCGGUCAGUAAUAUCGCGCAUGCGUACUACCGUCUCGGGGCUCACGCAUGCGUACUGCCGGCUCCAGGCUCGCGCAUGCGUACUGAGCUGCAGUUCCGCGCAUUGGCCACCUGGCGGUAGCAGAGACAGUGGAAAGAAAUACUCCGACGAAAUUGCCGCGGAUCCUCGGCGCAGCCCCUAGCGAUCCGUUCUCUCUUGUGAUGACGGGGGAAGAAUACGAAGUUAGAAUGGGG
ensembl:lncRNA